UUAUCGAUGGGGAUGCGUUCCAUUAGUUAGUUGGCGGGGUAACGGCCCACCAAGACGACGAUGGAUAGGGGUUCUGAGAGGAAGGUCCCCCACAUUGGAACUGAGACACGGUCCAAACUCCUACGGGAGGCAGCAGUGAGGAAUAUUGGUCAAUGGACGAGAGUCUGAACCAGCCAAGUAGCGUGAAGGAUGACUGCCCUAUGGGUUGUAAACUUCUUUUAUAUGGGAAUAAAACAGGGUAUGCAUACCCUCUUGUAUGUACCAUAUGAAUAAGGAUCGGCUAACUCCGUGCCAGCAGCCGCGGUAAUACGGAGGAUCCGAGCGUUAUCCGGAUUUAUUGGGUUUAAAGGGAGCGUAGGUGGAUUGUUAAGUCAGUUGUGAAAGUUUGCGGCUCAACCGUAAAAUUGCAGUUGAAACUGGCAGUCUUGAGUACAGUAGAGGUGGGCGGAAUUCGUGGUGUAGCGGUGAAAUGCUUAGAUAUCACGAAGAACUCCGAUUGCGAAGGCAGCUCACUAGACUGCAACUGACACUGAUGCUCGAAAGUGUGGGUAUCAAACAGGAUUAGAUACCCUGGUAGUCCACACAGUAAACGAUGAAUACUCGCUGUUUGCGAUAUACAGUAA
rnacentral:rRNA from 1 species